GACGAACGCUGGCGGCGAGCUUAACACAUGCAAGUCGAACGAUGAAGCCGGAGCUUGCUCCGGUGGAUUAGUGGCGAACGGGUGAGUAUCACGUGAGCAAUCUGCCCUUGACUCUGGGAUAACUGCGGGAAACUGUAGCUAAUACCGGAUACGACACCUUGGGGCAUCCCAGGGGGGGGAAAGAAUUUCGGUCAAGGAUGAGCUCGCGGCCUAUCAGCUAGUUGGUGAGGUAAUGGCUCACCAAGGCGACGACGGGUAGCCGGCCUGGGAGGGUGACCGGCCACACUGGAACUGAGACACGGUCCAGACUCCUACGGGAGGCAGCAGUGGGGAAUAUUGCACAAUGGGCGAAAGCCUGAUGCAGCAACGCCGCGUGAGGGAUGAAGGCCUUCGGGUUGUAAACCUCUUUUAGCAGGGAAGAAGCGAGAGUGACGGUACCUGCAGAAAAAGCACCGGCUAACUACGUGCCAGCCGCCGCAGUAA
rnacentral:rRNA from 1 species